rnacentral:tRNA from 1 species
CAAAGUGUAGCUUAUACAAAGUAUCUGACUUACACUCAGAAGAAUUCAUACAGUUGAACACUUUGA